GCGGCGAUGACAAAAGAGCGUUUCUGUUCCUCUUUACUAGAUGCUCUAACAGGGUUACUAUCAGCAGAAAACCACCCUGGAUCACUGAGAAGCUAUAAGUGCUUCCAGUCCGUCCUCACUGCUGCAAGGGCCAACUGGUACGGUGAUGGAGAUAUCACUGGUGACGAGAGAACCUCCGAAAAAGAAGAGCUCAGGAGUUUGCCAAAUAAACCCAUAAACUUUAACUAUUUAGACAGGAGAAGGAAGAUGAAACAUUCUAGAAGGCAUAAGGUUAGCAUGAUGAAGGAAAUCCAGAAAUUACAACAGCAGCAAACUAAAAACGGGACUCCUACACCAAGAAAAUACUUAAGGAUAUGAAAAAGAUGACAUGAGAAUGAAAAGAUAGAAUCCUGAUGAUAGAAGAAACUAAUGAACAGUAAUUUUUUUUCAUAUCGAUCUUAAAAACUACAGAAAAAAAUUUUAAAAGUUGAAUGUACAGUGACACAACUAUAUCCGAAUUUCAGAAAACUCACUUCACUUGCCAGGCAUGAAUGCUGUGAAAAUAGUUCAACGAAGUAGAGAUAAAACGAUUAACAAGACCCUUCACAAGUAUCCAAACUGUGGACUCGCCUUGCCAUAGUGAAUGAAGAGGAGUUGUCUUGGAACACAUACAAAAUAUAUAAAGUAG
rnacentral:lncRNA from 1 species